rnacentral:tRNA from 1 species
GACACUUUGGCCGAGUGGUUAAGGCGAUAGCCUGCUACUAUUACUAGUAAGCUAUUACGUUCGCGUGCGUGGGUUCGACUCCCACAGGUGUCG